UUUUAAGCCGCUCUGUGUCUGGCUAGAUGACGCUGGCGGCUGCCUUACACAUGCAAGUCGAACGGUAGAGGGCUUCGGCCUUCUAGAGUGGCGAACGGGUGAGUAAUGCAUACGAACGUGCCCUGUAAUGGGGUAUAACGUAACGCAAGUUACGCUAAUACCGCAUACGCCCUGAGGGGGAAAGCGGGGGAUCGUGUGACCUCGCGUUCUAUUCGCGGCUGAUGGAGGAUUAGGCUGAUGGUGGGGUAAAGGCCCACCAAGGCUCCGAUCCCUAGCGGGUCUGACAGGAUGAUCCACCACAGUGGGACUGAUGACACUGAAAACUCCUACAGACUGCUGCAGUGGGGAAUUUUUGGGAAUGGGGGCCACCGUGACCAACCCUCGCCACGUGGGUGAUGAAGUCUCUUGAGACCUCUAGCCCUUUCGACGGCUAACAACCGGCAAGGGUGAGCGUGCCCGACGAAGACCCCCCAGCAAACUCCGUGCCAGUACCCGCCGUCAUACGGGGUGGUACAGCGUUGUUCAGAAUUACUGGGAAUUACGGGUGCGUAAGGGGGGCUCUGAGUCGCACGUGAAAACUCUGGGCUCCUCCCGGAUCUUGCCUCAGAUAGUGUAGUGCUCUAGUUUUCUAGGGUGCAGCAGAAUUCCUGGUAUAUCCGGGAGUUGCGUAGAUAUCAGGAGGUACCCCGAUGAACCAACGGUGGCUACAUGCACCUAAACUGGACGCUGACUGCACGAUAACUAGCGGAAGCAUACGGGAUCAGAUACGCAUGGUAGUCCUAGCUCUACACGUCGUACUGGUGUGACUGGAGUGACUCGGUCGAUCGAUCUACGAUUCUGAUCCUGCUGAUGCAGCACUGGCGAACGCGUGCAACUCGCAUGAACUCGACAUGA
rnacentral:rRNA from 1 species